rnacentral:rRNA from 1 species
GGAGGAAGGUGUGGAUGACGUCAAGUCCUCAUGGCCCUUACGGGUUGGGCUACACACGUGCUACAAUGGCGGUGACAAUGGGCAGCGAAGGGGCGACCCGGAGCCAAUCCCCAAAAGCCGUCUCAGUUCGGAUCGCACUCUGCAACUCGAGUGCGUGAAGGUGGAAUCGCUAGUAAUCGUGGAUCAGCAUGCCACGGUGAAUACGUUCCCGGGCCUUGUACACACCGCCCG